GGCCACUGCUGACACGGGAGGACCAGGCGGUGUGGCUGCUGCCCACGCCAGAGUUCCGCAAGUCGGUGUUCCAGCACCGCGGCGGCCU
rnacentral:tRNA from 1 species